GAGAGAGUAAUGUAAGAAAGCACUUGGGGUCGAAACACGGCAAGACUCCCAGGUGUUUUCUAUU
rnacentral:sRNA from 1 species